rnacentral:rRNA from 1 species
AGAGAUGUGUGAUGACGCAUAUCAAUAAGCGGAGGAAAAGAAACUAACAAGGAUUCCCUUAGUAACGGCGAGUGAAGCGGGAAGAGCUCAAAUUUGAAAUCUUCAAGGUUCUACCUUGACGAAUUGUAGUUUAUAGAAGUGUUUUCUGUUAGUGGAGUGGCAAAAGUUCUUUGGAAUAGGACAUCAUAGAGGGUGAGAAUCCCGUAUUUGGUCAUUCCUCCUAGCGUUGUGAUACACUUUCAACGAGUCGGAUUGUUUGGGAAUGCAGUCCAAAAUGGGUGGUAAAUUUCAUCUAAAGCUAAAUAUUGGCGAGAGACCGAUAGCGAACAAGUACCGUAAGGGAAAGAUGAAAAGAACUUUGAAAAGAGAGUUAAACAGUACGUGAAAUUGUCAAAAGGGAAGCGUUUGACACCAGUGUUGUUUUUCCGAAAAUCAAUUAAGAAUGUUUUAUUUUUGAGGAGUUAUGACUUCAUCGGCUUGCUCCUUUCUUUAUGGAACUUUCUUAAUGCACUUUUCGGUUAACAAGUCAACAUCAAUUUCUUUUGUUGUAAAAGGGUAUGAGGAAGGUGGCUUUCUUUUCGGAGAAAGUGUUUAUAGCCUUGUGCCUCUGCAAUCGGAGAGAUUGAGGUCUGCAGCGUAGAUCCUUCGGGGUUAGAUACGUUUGUGCUAAGUUAUAGCUUUUCAUAGACAACUUGUUGACUAUGUUUAGUCUUGUAGCUUACUCGCUGACGCUAUUUUACCUACGCUUAGGAUGUUGAGUAGCGACAUACGCAC